UGAGAAGCCAACAGCACACACUUUCUUGAAGAGAUAUGACACCAACUGGAAGCUCUUGAUGUACCAGGUUUCAUUGCAUUCAUCGCAUUGCCAUUGAAGAGCACACAGCAUCGUUCUCACUUUACUUUCAAUGUACUAAAGCCUUCAAUUGAGAUUCAUGGUGAAGCGUUGUAAAAGGUCCCUCAUUAUCAGACUGAAGACUUUGCUCAUUCAAUUGCAUUCUUCAAUUGCCUGUUAUAUUGAAGGUGCAGGCCUUAAUUGUGUAAUAGAAUGACUCGAAGACAUACGAAUGUUGGGAUGAUAAGAACUGUGAGAAGGUCCUGAGGUCUAUCCAUGGUGAAUACUGGGUGAG